AGAACUAAUUUGGUGAACAAAUAAACGCAAGACUGCCCUAAAAUCUAUUCGUUUAUUAUGAAAACUAUGAUUUAUCAUCACAUUGUCACUUGGUGUGUGUGAACGUCUUAAUUAGAGAAACAAGGUUUAAUUAAAACUGAAAUGUUUCACCUGUGCUCAGAUCAGCUGAGGCUAUAAAUAUUGUUCAGACGCUCGUCUUCGAGCACGAGGUGAACAGAAGUGACCAUGAAACUUCAUCUGACAGGAACCGGAAGUCCCUAAAGAAGUCCAGGAGCACGGGCUGGACACACAAACAGAGCACUAAUGUAUAUUCUGCGUACAUUUACAAGAUUAAGAAGGAGCGAUCUGUUCUCGUGAGUGACGCCUCCUCUUUGAUGCGGCACCUGUCCGGUGCGCACGCGCAGGUGUGUGCCGAGGCCGCGCGACUCCCAAAGUUCAACCGGCGGCGCGUCAUCACGCAGCGAGAGCUCUCCGCCGCCGCGCGCGCGCUCCGGCACCGAAGCUCGUGACGGCUGGAGAUUUAAAUGCUGCGCUUUUAGAUGUCAAUUAAAUUAAUAAAGCUUAGUUUUUAUAAACCCUGUCUUUAUGCAAUGACGUUUUGUUUGACGUAUUGCA